GCUGCUCUUGCUACAGUAGUAUGCUGGGCAAUGUGAUAGAGCAGAUGUAAAUUUUUGCUGCCACGCAAUCUGAGUCCCGCGCCAUUUUCUUCCAUUCUGAGCCCAUACAGAGCAGCCCGCCACCCCUUCCUCCUACCUGGGGUUCCUGGUGCUAGCCACCCAUGCUGCCCCCUCUCCUGUUUCCCUGUGCUUUGUCUUGGAGCCAGGAAGAAAUGAAGUUUAAUUACUGCCUUUCAACACACGAACGCUCAGGGGAACAGGCAGCUUUGCCGCAGGUCAAUUUCAAAGGCCGAAUGUUUGACAGCCUUGAUUUAAAAAAGCUUAUUCAAAAAUGUUAAAUAAAGGCCUAAGUGACAUAAAGCUGAUUUUUUUUUUUUUUUUACUGGUCAG